rnacentral:rRNA from 1 species
GUCGUACGAGAAAGUUGGCUUCGGCCGAUGAGUACAGUGGCGCACGGGUGAGUAACGCGUGGAUAAUCUGCCCUUAAGUGUGGAAUAACGUACCGAAAGGUGCGCUAAUACCGCAUAAUGCCUGGCAACAUAAGUUGUCCGGCCAAAGAAGGCCUCUGCUUGCAAGCUUUCGCUAAAGGAUGAGUCCGCGUACCAUUAGCUAGUUGGUGGGGUAACGGCCUACCAAGGCGACGAUGGUUAGCUGGUCUGAGAGGAUGAUCAGCCACACUGGAACUGAGACACGGUCCAGACUCCUACGGGAGGCAGCAGUGAGGAAUAUUGCGCAAUGGGGGCAACCCUGACGCAGCAACGCCGCGUGAGUGAGGAAGGUUUUCGGACUGUAAAGCUCUGUCGAGCGGGAAGAAGUGUACCAUGGCUAAUAUCCAUGAUAUUUGACGGUACCGCUAGAGGAAGCACCGGCUAACUCCGUGCCAGCAGCCGCGGUAAUACGGGGGGUGCAAGCGUUGUUCGGAAUUAUUGGGCGUAAAGAGCGUGUAGGCGGCUGAGCAAGUCAGAUGUGAAAGCCCCGGGCUUAACCCGGGAAGUGCAUUUGAAACUGUUCGGCUUGAGUAGGGGAGAGGAAAGUGGAAUUCCUGGUGUA